AGAGUUUGAUCAUGGCUCAGAGUGAACGCUGGCGGUAGGCCUAACACAUGCAAGUCGAACGGCAGCACAGUAAGAGCUUGCUCUUACGGGUGGCGAGUGGCGGACGGGUGAGGAAUACAUCGGAAUCUACUUUUUCGUGGGGGAUAACGUAGGGAAACUUACGCUAAUACCGCAUACGACCUACGGGUGAAAGCAGGGGAUCUUCGGACCUUGCGCGAUUGAAUGAGCCGAUGUCAGAUUAGCUAGUUGGCGGGGUAAAGGCCCACCAAGGCGACGAUCCGUAGCUGGUCUGAGAGGAUGAUCAGCCACACUGGAACUGAGACACGGUCCAGACUCCUACGGGAGGCAGCAGUGGGGAAUAUUGGACAAUGGGCGCAAGCCUGAUCCAGCCAUACCGCGUGGGUGAAGAAGGCCUUCGGGUUGUAAAGCCCUUUUGUUGGGAAAGAAAUCCAGCUGGCUAAUACCCGGUUGGGAUGACGGUACCCAAAGAAUAAGCACUGGCUAACUUCGUGCCAGCAGCCGCGGUAAUACGAAGGGUGCAAGCGUUACUCGGAAUUACUGGGCGUAAAGCGUGCGUAGGUGGUCGUUUAAGUCCGUUGUGAAAGCCCUGGGCUCAACCUGGGAACUGCAGUGGAUACUGGGCGACUAGAGUGUGGUAGAGGGUAGCGGAAUUCCUGGUGUAGCAGUGAAAUGCGUAGAGAUCAGGAGGAACAUCCAUGGCGAAGGCAGCUACCUGGACCAACACUGACACUGAGGCACGAAAGCGUG
rnacentral:rRNA from 1 species